rnacentral:rRNA from 1 species
AGACGUCUACAUUAGACUACCCGGGUAGUCCCAGCCGUAAACUAUGCGCGUUAGGUGUAUCGGUGACCACGAGUUACCGAGGUGCCGAAAGGGAAACCGUAGAAACGUGCCGCCUGGGAAGUACGGUCGCAAGGCUAGAAACUUAAAGGAAUUGGCGGGGAGCACCACAACAGGUGGAGCCUGCGGUUUAAUUGGACUCAACGCCGGGAAGCUCACCGGAUAGGACAGCAGAAUGAUUGCCGGGCUGAAGACCCUGCAUGACUAGCUG